CGCAGCUUGCUCAUACUGUCUUGGUUUGCUUUUUUUUAUGCUGACUUAAGCUGCAGCAUCUGUAUGAAGGGGUUUAGCACAAUUGUAAAUACUAAUCUCCAGGCUGCCAAUGUCAUUACGGAAGUAGAUACAAGUAAAUGAAACUCACAGUACAUUUCUAUAGACACUGUGGGUGAUUUUGAAGACAUAUGUAUCUUCCAAGCUGUUACAAUCUUCCUGAAUAUAUUUCUUCGUAGGCCGGAGGAGCAUUCCUUUAUGAACAGCCUUAAGGAAAAAAAGAAGUCAGGGGCUCAGAAUCUGAGAGAAGCCUGUCAAGUUUAGUCAAGCUGAGGGAAACAUCAAGGCCUUCUUGAUUAAAAGGUAUACACUCACACACACUUGCUUCUAAUUUAUCUUAAAAAUAUAUGCUCUGCUAUCAGUGUUCUAAAUGUUUUCUUUAUUGUG
rnacentral:lncRNA from 10 species